CUUAAACCUUCACUUGCUAGCUCAGGCUUCUCAGUGGCCAAGACCUGUAAAUGAGCAAAAUCUAGCUCUGGUUUUCUGGGAGGAGAAAGGGAAUGGUGGCAGAAAUGCACGGGGAGCAGAGAAAGAGAGGGCACACUGUCUCCCACUUAUUUUUAGUAUUUUAUUUAGGGAUGGGUUCACUACAGUGCUGUUCUUAGGCUCUCCUGAGGUAGCAGAGGUGCAGAGAUGGCAGCGAUCCUGAGGCAAGAGUACUGAAAUUUGUUCUUUAAUUUACUUGAUUAUCCAAGUUGGGCAUUUGAAGAAACACAUCCAUGUUUCCCCAUCGCUUAGUGCCAUGGGGUAAAAAGAAAUCUAAAAUGCAAGGAGGGGAGAAGAAGAAAAUGCCCCACAUACCUCAGACAAAUCCAAGUCAACUCCUCACACCACCCAACCACCCAUCCCAGAAGAAUGAAACCACACAACACACCAGGACAGCACAGAGCCAACUUUGCUUUCACAGAGAGAUGUUUUCUCAACCAAACAAGCAACCCUUAGAAUAUUGCUGGAAAAAUCUAUGUUAGAGGAGAAGCAAGUGCAGUGGCCCAAUUCCAGGCUGUGCUUUCUCUGCUGAUGAUUUUUCUAUGGAAAUUAAGAUGAUAUCUGCUAAAUUCCAACAACAAUCCUAAACCCAAGCCCUCAAACUGAAGUGGAGUCCCGUGGUCCAGCCUCUCUGUACCACCAUGCCCCACCCGGUAGCCCACCCCAAAUCUCAACUUUUUCAAGUCAAGAAGCCUGGGCCCCCGUUUCUGCUCCUGAGCUCUCUCUUGAAUUGUUCUCGCUCAUCACCCUUUCAGAAUCCAGCCUGUUCUGGGGAAAUAUACA